CAGCAGUGGGGAAUUUUGGACAAUGGGCGCAAGCCUGAUCCAGCCAUGCCGCGUGCAGGAUGAAGGCCUUCGGGUUGUAAACUGCUUUUGUACGGAACGAAAAGACUCCUUCUAAUAAAGGGGGUCCAUGACGGUACCGUAAGAAUAAGCACCGGCUAACUACGUGCCAGCAGCCGCGGUAAUACGUAGGGUGCGAGCGUUAAUCGGAAUUACUGGGCGUAAAGCGUGCGCAGGCGGUUAUAUAAGACAGAUGUGAAAUCCCCGGGCUCAACCUGGGAACUGCAUUUGUGACUGUAUAGCUAGAGUACGGUAGAGGGGGAUGGAAUUCCGCGUGUAGCAGUGAAAUGCGUAGAUAUGCGGAGGAACACCGAUGGCGAAGGCAAUCCCCUGGACCUGUACUGACGCUCAUGCACGAAAGCGUGGGGAGCAAACAGGAUUAGAUACCCUGGUAGUCCACGCCCUAAACGAUGUCAACUGGUUGUUGGGUCUUCACUGACUCAGUAACGAAGCUAACG
rnacentral:rRNA from 1 species